UUAAAAUUGAUUUUUUUUUCAGUUUUUAAAAUUUGAUGCAACAUGUUUAUGCAUAUGUCAAUUUUUUUAAAAUAUUGCAUUGGUUGAAUACCUAUUUCUUGAAUUGAUUUCUGAAUUUUUUUGAUACAAUGGAUUAGGGUUUACAAUAUGGAUAUUUAUGUACAUGGGUUUUGUUAAUUGGUGAAUUGACAUAUGAAUUAGUUUUCGUUAGCUGUGUGUAUUAAAGAGGGGAAUUUUUACUGUCAAACUGGGCAAAUUUUGCUUUUUCCAACAAUAAAUGGUGUCCUGCUUCUGCAGGCUUCAAUGCCUCUUGAUUUUUCUAUUCAGUUCUCAUGGAUGAUUUAGAGUUUUGCUAUAAAUCAGAAGUUUUAUAUUUAAGGUCUAAUGGAAGCCGAAAGCCAUUAGACAUAAUGUCAUUUUAUAUUGAUAGUGCAAUAUAUGCCAUCCCCUAUUUGGCGCCUUAGAUAGAUUCUGGUCAUCUGCUCACAUAUUGAGUUUUAUGCUGAGUAGGAUUCAUUCUUAAGGUGCUUCAAGUCAAUUUGAUCAGAACCUUGGAACUGGAAUGUUUAUUUAUUUCCUUUGUGGUGCUUUGGAGUUGUAAUUUGGUAUUUGGUUCUGUUCCCUGCAAGAUGAACAUAUUGCUUUACCAUAUUUGCUUACAUGUGAUGCAUCAUAUAGUAUUACUAAUGAAAUAUUGCUAUCUGCCUAGCUAAUUUUAGAUGAUACUUAUCCUUAUAGAGAUAUACUUUGAUGCUGACAUUAUCGAAAAGAAAAAAAAAGAUUUAAAGGACAUGAUUUGAUCUUCAGUUUUAAAAACAGAUUGAAUGGACCAGGGGUUUUGUUCCUAGAAAGGACUUUCUCAAAUGUGGAGACUUGCAAAAUGCAAGGCUUUAUGUUCAUGUGAAGCCGACACUUAGUGGAACUUUCACAGACAUUGCAAUGUGGAUUUUCUGUCCAUUCAAUAGACCAGUCACUCUUAAAAUUAGAAUAAAAAACAUACCUUUUGAGAAUUGGCUUUUAAUUAAGAAAAAUAUUUUGUUGUGACAAAGACGGUGUGAAGAUGCAUUGUAUUCCCUGCUCAUUUUUUGUGCUCGACGGCUUGUGCGUCACUUGGCAUCAGUUGCAAUGACAAAGAUCAUAUCCAAGGGAGAUGGAAUAUUUGUUUAUGCUAGAGCAAGCAGCUUUUAGGGAUUUCUUUCUGAUGGUUCUUGUUACCAUAAGAAAAAUUCAUUUUUUCAAUAUACUUGCUUUUGAGUUUUUGUCAGCCAAAUUGAUUCUCUUGUAUAAGGAACUAUAUAGAACUCAAUUUUUGUAAAUAAUUUUAGUUAUUAUUUUA